CCCUCUUUGUUCCACUCCUUAGAGCGCGCGACGGCUCCGCCCCCCCAUCGACCGGGCGGGGGGAAAGAAGCGGCGCUAUCCCAUCAUGCACCAUGCCCCUUAUAGACAGGUUUUCAGGGUGAAGAAACUGAAUUUUGUUCUGAAAGUCUGGAGGAAGUUAAGAUGCUCCAUUUCUUUUGAACUUUCCCUAGGCUGCUGGCUACAAAGGGGGAGUCAGAGAGACAAAGAGGACUAGGUAGUAGUCCUUUAACGCCAUUUCAUCUGAACUUCCCCGAGGCUGGUGAUUGGAGCUGUUUUCUACAAGGUGGGACUCAGAGAGACAAAGAAUCAUAUAUCUAUAAACUAAAAUAGCAAUAAUACAUUCUGGAUUAGUGCGCUUGA